ACUUCCUGCUGCUAGGGGAGAAAUUGCAGACGGCCUCUUUUACUCUCUCCCACCUUCUACUCCUGUCUUGGUCUGCAGCUCCAUGGCCGAGCUUCGGUCGCCAUCACUCAUUCAGCACUGGCGUGAGAUCGAGGCCGUUGGCCCGGCCCGACUACGGCGGCAACGCGGAGUCCUCGGCGGCGGCCAACUCCGGUACCAGCUCACUGCGCAGCCAUCGCCGCAUCCAGCGGCGCUUGGGUUUGAGUGCCUAGAUCUACGCCGCCGUCACCACGCUCGAGGCCCCCAACAUCGGUGUCCGCAGAUGGGGUUUCUUGACGCCAUUGAGCCCAAUGCGCCUCGCAACUCGACUCCCUCAAGCAGUCGGCGGUUGGCGGACGCUUUAUGCUCACCGCCACCCUGCUCCACUCCCCGCAAGACAAGGAGCCAGGGCAGGCAACAGGGGCGGCGGCACGCAGGCCCGCGCACACAGGUGGCGGCGGCGGAGCGCAGACAUUCUUGUUCUCGGGUUUACUGCGCUGGUUUGGAGCUUUGUCAACACACUUCGGUUGAAUCUCAUCUGUACCAAGGAGAGAAGAAGUUAUAUAUAUAUGAGUACACAUGGAUACAUGCUGUGAUCAUACGCAAAUAUGAAAUAAAAUGGUUCCACCUGCUAAAGUAUUCUCAUCUCCUUUGUGAUUUGGAUCUACUAUAAUUAAUCAGGUUCCAGCUGCUGAAGUAUUCUUAUCUCGUUUGUGACUUGGCUCCAGUUUAAAUAUUUAGGCUAUAGCUUUUACCUCCUCAAGAACUCCUCUCCUCCAGUGUGAACUCGGCAUGCAACACUGAGAAGCUAGCAUCUUCGCUCACAAUUCGAAAUCAGCAACCAGGUACACACAGUUCGACAAAGUUGCAAUUCCUAAUUCAAAAGGAAAACUAAGAAACCUUCUAUUAAUAUUCUCAGAUCUGAUAUUUCAGCUGAACUAUAUGUUUGCUUGGCUUUCUAAACAGUUUUUAUCUUUCCCCUCUCUUAGAUUACCUCUAACAAGCAUGUUAAUGCUCUUCUGUUACUUGAGUUAUUGUAAAUUGUAAUAUCUGUAUAUUAUCAUAUU